UUAAGCGACUAAGCGUACACGGUGGAUGCCCUGGCAGUCAGAGGCGAUGAAGGGCGUGCUAAUCUGCGAUAAGCGCCGGUAAGGUGAUAUGAACCGUUAUAACCGGCGAUACCCGAAUGGGGAAACCCAGUGUGAUUCGUCACACUAUCAUUAACUGAAUCCAUAGGUUAAUGAGGCGAACCGGGGGAACUGAAACAUCUAAGUACCCCGAGGAAAAGAAAUCAACCGAGAUUCCCCCAGUAGCGGCGAGCGAACGGGGAGGAGCCCAGAGCCUGAAUCAGCAUGUGUGUUAGUGGAAGCGUCUGGAAAGGCGCGCGAUACAGGGUGACAGCCCCGUACACAAAAGCGCAUGUGCUGUGAGCUCGAUGAGUAGGGCGGGACACGUGGUAUCCUGUCUGAAUAUGGGGGGACCAUCCUCCAAGGCUAAAUACUCCUGACUGACCGAUAGUGAACCAGUACCGUGAGGGAAAGGCGAAAAGAACCCCGGCGAGGGGAGUGAAAAAGAACCUGAAACCGUGUACGUACAAGCAGUGGGAGCACAGGUUUACCUGUGUGACUGCGUACCUUUUGUAUAAUGGGUCAGCGACUUAUAUUCUGUAGCAAGGUUAACCGAAUAGGGGAGCCGGAGGGAAACCGAGUCUUAAUUGGGCGUUAAGUUGCAGGGUAUAGACCCGAAACCCGGUGAUCUAGCCAUGGGCAGGUUGAAGGUUGGGUAACACUAACUGGAGGACCGAACCGACUAAUGUUGAAAAAUUAGCGGAUGACCUGUGGCUGGGGGUGAAAGGCCAAUCAAACCGGGAGAUAGCUGGUUCUCCCCGAAAGCUAUUUAGGUAGCGCCUCGUGAAUUCAUCUCCGGGGGUAGAGCACUGUUUCGGCUAGGGGGCCAUCCCGGCUUACCAACCCGAUGCAAACUGCGAAUACCGGAGAAUGUUAUCACGGGAGACACACGGCGGGUGCUAACGUCCGUCGUGAAGAGGGAAACAACCCAGACCGCCAGCUAAGGUCCCAAAGUCAUGGUUAAGUGGGAAACGAUGUGGGAAGGCCCAGACAGCCAGGAUGUUGGCUUAGAAGCAGCCAUCAUUUAAAGAAAGCGUAAUAGCUCACUGGUCGAGUCGGCCUGCGCGGAAGAUGUAACGGGGCUAAACCAUGCACCGAAGCUGCGGCAGCGAACGUAUCACCCAAGACAACUUUACGGAGUUGACGAUUGACGGAGCGAAGCGACGUCAAAGCGUUCAUUAAAGUCGAGUUGGCUUAGGGAUACGUUCGUUGGGUAGGGGAGCGUUCUGUAAGCCUGUGAAGGUGUGUCGUGAGGCAUGCUGGAGGUAUCAGAAGUGCGAAUGCUGACAUAAGUAACGAUAAAGCGGGUGAAAAGCCCGCUCGCCGGAAGACCAAGGGUUCCUGUCCAACGUUAAUCGGGGCAGGGUGAGUCGACCCCUAAGGCGAGGCCGAAAGGCGUAGUCGAUGGGAAACGGGUUAAUAUUCCCGUACUUGGUGUUACUGCGAAGGGGGGACGGAGAAGGCUAUGUUGGCCGGGCGACGGUUGUCCCGGUUUAAGCGUGUAGGUGUGUGUUCCAGGUAAAUCCGGUUCACUUUAACACUGAGGCGUGACGACGAGGCACUACGGUGCUGAAGCAACAAAUGCCCUGCUUCCAGGAAAAGCCUCUAAGCAUCAGGUAACACGAAAUCGUACCCCAAACCGACACAGGUGGUCAGGUAGAGAAUACCAAGGCGCUUGAGAGAACUCGGGUGAAGGAACUAGGCAAAAUGGUGCCGUAACUUCGGGAGAAGGCACGCUGACACGUAGGUGAAGUGAUUUACUCAUGGAGCUGAAGUCAGUCGAAGAUACCAGCUGGCUGCAACUGUUUAUUAAAAACACAGCACUGUGCAAACACGAAAGUGGACGUAUACGGUGUGACGCCUGCCCGGUGCCGGAAGGUUAAUUGAUGGGGUCAGCGUAAGCGAAGCUCCUGAUCGAAGCCCCGGUAAACGGCGGCCGUAACUAUAACGGUCCUAAGGUAGCGAAAUUCCUUGUCGGGUAAGUUCCGACCUGCACGAAUGGCGUAAUGAUGGCCAGGCUGUCUCCACCCGAGACUCAGUGAAAUUGAACUCGCUGUGAAGAUGCAGUGUACCCGCGGCAAGACGGAAAGACCCCGUGAACCUUUACUAUAGCUUGACACUGAACAUUGAGCCUUGAUGUGUAGGAUAGGUGGGAGGCUUUGAAGUGUGGACGCCAGUCUGCAUGGAGCCGACCUUGAAAUACCACCCUUUAAUGUUUGAUGUUCUAACGUGGACCCGUAAUCCGGGUUGCGGACAGUGUCUGGUGGGUAGUUUGACUGGGGCGGUCUCCUCCUAAAGAGUAACGGAGGAGCACGAAGGUUGGCUAAUCCUGGUCGGACAUCAGGAGGUUAGUGCAAUGGCAUAAGCCAGCUUGACUGCGAGCGUGACGGCGCGAGCAGGUGCGAAAGCAGGUCAUAGUGAUCCGGUGGUUCUGAAUGGAAGGGCCAUCGCUCAACGGAUAAAAGGUACUCCGGGGAUAACAGGCUGAUACCGCCCAAGAGUUCAUAUCGACGGCGGUGUUUGGCACCUCGAUGUCGGCUCAUCACAUCCUGGGGCUGAAGUAGGUCCCAAGGGUAUGGCUGUUCGCCAUUUAAAGUGGUACGCGAGCUGGGUUUAGAACGUCGUGAGACAGUUCGGUCCCUAUCUGCCGUGGGCGCUGGAGAACUGAGGGGGGCUGCUCCUAGUACGAGAGGACCGGAGUGGACGCAUCACUGGUGUUCGGGUUGUCAUGCCAAUGGCACUGCCCGGUAGCUAAAUGCGGAAGAGAUAAGUGCUGAAAGCAUCUAAGCACGAAACUUGCCCCGAGAUGAGUUCUCCCUGAGACUUAGAGUCUCCUGAAGGAACGUUGAAGACGACGACGUUGAUAGGCCGGGUGUGUAAGCGCAGCGAUGCGUUGAGCUAACCGGUACUAAUGAACCGUGAGGCUUAACCU
rnacentral:rRNA from 1 species